AUAAGUAAAAAUUUUGAUUUCGACUCAAAUGUAGGAUUUUCCUACUUAUA
rnacentral:tRNA from 1 species